rnacentral:rRNA from 1 species
CCUACGGGAGGCUGCAGUGGGGAAUAUUGCACAAUGGGGGAAACCCUGAUGCAGCGACGCCGCGUGAAGGAAGAAGUAUUUCGGUAUGUAAACUUCUAUCAGCAGGGAAGAAAAUGACGGUACCUGACUAAGAAGCCCCGGCUAACUACGUGCCAGCAGCCGCGGUAAUACGUAGGGGGCAAGCGUUAUCCGGAUUUACUGGGUGUAAAGGGAGCGUAGGCGGUGCAGCAAGUCAGAAGUGAAAGCCCGGGGCUCAACUCCGGGACUGCUUUUGAAACUGUUGAACUAGAGUGCAGGAGAGGUAAGUGGAAUUCCUAGGGUAGCGGUGAAAUGCGUAGAUAUUAGGAGGAACACCAGUGGCGAAGGCGGCUUACUGGACUGUAAAUGACGCUGAGGCUCGAAAGCGUGGGGAGCAAACAGGAUUAGAUACCCCGGUAGUC